GACGAACGCUGGCGGCGUGCUUAACACAUGCAAGUCGAACGGAAAGGCCCUGCUUUUGUGUGGUGCUCGAGUGGCGAACGGGUGAGUAACACGUGAGUAACCUGCCCUUGACUUUGGGAUAACUGCAGGAAACUGGGGCUAAUACCGGAUAGGAGCUCCUGCUGCAUGGUGGGGGUUGGAAAGUUUCGGCGGUUGGGGAUGGACUCGCGGCUUAUCAGCUUGUUGGUGGGGUAGUUGCUUACCAAGGCUUUGACGGGUAGCCGGCCUGAGAGGGUGAACGGCCACAUUGGGACUGAGGUACGGCCCAGACUGCUACGGGGGGCAGCAGGGGAGAAUAUUGCACAAUGGGGCGAAGCCUGAUGAGGCAACGCCGGGUGCGGGAUGACGGCCUUCGGGUUGUAAACCGCUUUCACCUGUGACGAAGCGUGAGUGACGGUAAUAGGUAAAGAAGCACCGGCUAACUACGUG
rnacentral:rRNA from 1 species